rfam:Arabis alpina cultivar Pajares chromosome 4, whole genome shotgun sequence.
GACUCUCGGCAACGGAUAUCUCGGCUCUCGCAUCGAUGAAGAACGUAUCGAAAUGCGAUACUUGGUGUGAAUUGCAGAAUCCCGUGAACCAUCGAGUCUUUGAACGCAAAUUGCGCUCCAAACCUUCUGGCUGAGGGCAUGUCUGCCUGGGUAUCA